rnacentral:rRNA from 1 species
UUCAACUCAGUGGCGGACGGGUGAGUAACGCGUGAGUAACCUGCCUUUCAGAGGGGGAUAACGUUCUGAAAAGAACGCUAAUACCGCAUAAGAUUGUAGUUUCGCAUGGAGCAGCAAUCAAAGGAGCAAUCCGCUGAAAGAUGGACUCGCGUCCGAUUAGAUAGUUGGCGGGGUAACGGCCCACCAAGUCGACGAUCGGUAGCCGGACUGAGAGGUUGAUCGGCCACAUUGGGACUGAGACACGGCCCAGACUCCUACGGGAGGCAGCAGUGAGGGAUAUUGGGCAAUGGGGGAAACCCUGACCCAGCAACGCCGCGUGAGGGAUGACGGUUUUCGGAUUGUAAACCUCUGUCCUCUGUGAAGAUAGUGACGGUAGCAGAGGAGGAAGCUCCGGCUAACUACGUGCCAGCAGCCGCGGUAAUACGUAGGGAGCAAGCGUUGUCCGGAUUUACUGGGUGUAAAGGGUGCGUAGGCGGAUUGGCAAGUCAGAAGUGAAAUCCAUGGGCUUAACCCAUGAACUGCUUUUGAAACUGUUAGUCUUGAGUGAAGUAGAGGUAGGCGGAAUUCCCGGUGUAGCGGUGAAAUGCGUAGAGAUCGGGAGGAACACCAGUGGCGAAGGCGGCCUACUGG